AUUGAACGCUGGCGGCAGGCCUAACACAUGCAAGUCGAACGAGUGGCGGACGGGUGAGUAAUGUCUGGGAAACUGCCUGAUGGAGGGGGAUAACUACUGGAAACGGUAGCUAAUACCGCAUACCAUCGGAUGUGCCCAGAUGGGAUUAGCUAGUGGGUGGGGUAACGGCUCACCUAGGCGACGAUCCCUAGCUGGUCUGAGAGGAUGACCAGCCACGCUGGGACUGAGACAAGGACCAGACUCGUCCGGGAGGCAGCAGUGAGGAAUAUUGCACAAUGGGCGCAAGCCUGAUCCAGCCAUGCCGAGUGUAUGAAGAAGGCCUUCGGGUUGUAAAGUACUUUCAGCGGGGAAGCGUUACCUGCAGAAGAAGCACCGGCUAACUCCGUGCCAGCAGCCGCGGUAAUUC
rnacentral:rRNA from 1 species